rnacentral:rRNA from 1 species
GACGAACCGUGCGAACGUUGUUCGGAUUCACUGGGCUUAAAGGGCGCGUAGGCGGGCAUCCAAGUCAGGGGUGAAAUCUUUCGGCCCAACCGGAAAGUGCCUUUGAUACUGGAUGUCUCGAGGGAGGUAGGGGCAUGUGGAACUUCCGGUGGAGCGGUGAAAUGCGUAGAUAUCGUUUGGAACGCCAACGGUGAAAACAGACAGCUGGGAGUGUGCUGACGCUGAGACACGAAAGCCAGGGGAGCGAACGGG